UACGUAGGGCGCAAGCGUUGUCCGGAAUCAUUGGGCGUAAAGAGCUCGUAGGCGGCCUGUUGCGUCCGCUGUGAAAUCCCGGGGCUUAACCCCGGGCGUGCAGUGGAUACGGGCUGGCUGGAGGCAGGCAGGGGAGAACGGAAUUCCCGGUGUAGCGGUGAAAUUCGUAGAUAUUGGGAAGAACACCGGUGGCGAAGGCGGCUCUCUGGACCGAUACUGACGCUGAGGCGCGAAAGCGUGGGGAGCAAACAGG
rnacentral:rRNA from 1 species